UCUCCCCUGCAUGUCCAUCGCAGGCUUCAAUGUGUCUGGCAGGCAGGAAAAUUGAAGUGCGAAUUUGAGUGACCGUCUGUACGUCCAAAAUGGAAAAUGGCAUUCAUCAGACUACUUCUUUCUCUUAUUUCAUGUGUAACUCCUUAACAGAAAACAACUGCUGCACACGGAGGGCCUUAUCAGACACAGGACAGGGACCACAGUAUUAGCACUCAAGUGCUCAUAGCCUUUCCCCCACCAAGCCCAUCCAUUCUGUGCACUGUUGGCCCCAGGGGAGACAAGGUAAUUUUCUCCCUUCCUGGUCAUCUUGGGGCCCAGACCACCAGCUGGAGAAAUGAUGCAGAGAGAGCAGAUGAGAAAGCUGAAAUACUGCAAGUUGAAAUGACUCGUCCUAGAUCCCAGGUCUAGUGAAGAGUGAGCACCAGAAAUCACAUGUACUAGACUACCAGCAGUCAGAUAUAAUCAGCCCCCAAAUCUCCUGUGGUUCACUAUAUAUAAA
rnacentral:lncRNA from 10 species